rnacentral:rRNA from 1 species
UACGUAGGGGGCAAGCGUUGUCCGGAUUUAUUGGGCGUAAAGAGCGUGUAGGCGGCCAGGUAGGUCUGCUGUGAAAACUCGAGGCUCAACCUCGAGACGCCGGCGGAAACCAUCUGGCUAGAGUCCGGAAGAGGAGAGUGGAAUUCCUGGUGUAGCGGUGAAAUGCGCAGAUAUCAGGAAGAACACCCGUGGCGAAGGCGGCUCUCUGGGACGGUACUGACGCUGAGGAGCGAAAGCAUGGGGAGCGAACAGG